rnacentral:rRNA from 1 species
UACGACUACAUAUCAGGCAUAUCAAUAAGCGGAGGAAAAGAAACUAACAAGGAUUCCCUUAGUAACGGCGAGUGAAGCGGGAAGAGCUCAAAUUUGAAAUCUUCAAGGUUCUACCUUGACGAAUUGUAGUUUAAAGAAGUGUUUUCUGUUGGAGUUUUGGUAAAAGUUCUUUGGAAUAGGACAUCAUAGAGGGUGAGAAUCCCGUAUUUGACCAUUAUUUUCAGCUUUGUGAUACACUUUCAAAGAGUCGGAUUGUUUGGGAAUGCAGUCCAAAAUGGGUGGUAAAUUUCAUCUAAAGCUAAAUAUUGGCGAGAGACCGAUAGCGAACAAGUACCGUGAGGGAAAGAUGAAAAGAACUUUGAAAAGAGAGUUAAACAGUACGUGAAAUUGUCAAAAGGGAGCGUUUGACACCAGUGUUGUUUUCUCGAAAAUCAAUUAAAAAGAGUUGGAUUUUGUGUUGUAUUGACCUUAACAGCUUGCUUCACUCUUUUCCAGCUUUUUUUAAUGCACUUUUCGUUUAACAAGUCAACAUCAGUUUCUUUGUUGUAAAAGGGUCAUUGGAAGGUGGCUUUCUCUUCGGAGAAAGUGUUUAUAGCCUUUGAUCUCUGCAAUCGGAGAGACUGAGGUCUGCAGCGUAGAUCCUUCGGGGUUAGAUACAUUUGUGCUAAGCUACAGCUUUUCAUAGACAACUUGUUGACUAUGUUUAGUCUUGUAACUUACCCGCUUAUGCUAUUUUACCUACGCUUAGGAUGUUGAGCGCAUGUCUCUCUCU